rnacentral:misc_RNA from 1 species
GAUGAAGAACGUAGUGAAAUGCGAUAAGUAAUGUGAAUUGCAGAAUUCAGUGAAUCAUCGAAUCUUUGAACGCACAUUGCGCCCGCUAGUAUUCUGGCGGGCAUGCCUGUUCGAGCGUCAUUUCAACCCUCAGGCCCCCAGUGCCUGGCGUUGGGGAUCGGCCGCUGGCGUCCUUCGGGGCGCCUGGCCGGCCCCGAAAUCUAGUGGCGGUCUCGCUGUAGUCCUCCUCUGCGUAGUAGCACAACCUCGCAGGUGGAACUCGGCGGUGGCCAUGCCGUUAAACACCCCACUUCUGAAAGUUGACCUCGGAUCAGGUAGGAAUACCCGCUGAACUUAAGCAUAUCAAUAAGCGGAGGA